AAACUAAUUUAGUUUGGCGGCAUUUUAUUCAAUUAGAGGAAUUUGUCUUUAAAUCGAUAAUCCACGUUAAAUUAUACUUUAAUUUCAAAAUUUAUAUACCGCCAUCUAAAGAAUUAAUUUAAAAAUAUUUCUCAAAAAAUACAAUAAAAAGUUAGGUCAAGGUGUAAUCCAUAUUAAAGAAUCAGAUGAAUUACAUUAAAUAUAAUUUAAAGAUCAUUAAUAAAUAUACUAAUACAAAUAAGGAUUUAAAAGUAAUAUAAAUAAUAAUAAUAUAAUAUGAUACAAUAAAUAAAUGUGCACACAUCGCCC
rnacentral:rRNA from 1 species